rnacentral:rRNA from 1 species
UGGGGAAUAUUGCGCAAUGGGCGAAAGCCUGACGCAGCGACGCAGCGUGAGGGACGACGGCCUUCGGGUUGUAAACCUCUUUCAGCGGGGACGAAGCGAAAGUGACGGUACCCGCAGAAGAAGCACCGGCUAACUACGUGCCAGCAGCCGCGGUAAUACGUAGGGUGCAAGCAUUGUCCGGAUUUAUUGGGCGUAAAGAGCUCGUAGGCGGCUUGUCACGUCGGAUGUGAAAACUCGGGGCUCAACCCCGAGCCUGCAUUCGAUACGGGCUAGCUAGAGUGUUGCAGGGGAGACUGGAAUUCCUGGUGUAGCGGUGAAAUGCGCAGAUAUCAGGAGGAACACCGGUGGCGAAGGCGGGUCUCUGGGCAACUACUGACGCUGAGGAGCGAAAGCGUGGGGAGCGAACA